CAAUAGCGUAUAUUAAAGUUGUUGCAGUUAAAAAGCUCGUAGUUGGAUUUCGGGACGGGCCAGUUGGUCCGCCGCAAGGUGUGUUACUGACUGGUCUGUUCUUCUUCGCAAAGACUGCGUGUGCUCUUCGUUGAGUGUGCGUAGGAUUUACGACGUUUACUUUGAAAAAAUUAGAGUGUUCAAAGCAGGCUAUCGCUUGAAUACAUGAGCAUGGAAUAAUGGAAUAGGACUUUGGUCCUAUUUUGUUGGUUUCUAGGACCGAAGUAAUGAUUAAGAGGGACAAUUGGGGGCAUCCGUAUUUCGUUGUCAGAGGUGAAAUUCUUGGAUUUACGAAAGACGAACAACUGCGAAAGCACUUGCCAAGAGUGUUUUCACUAA
rnacentral:rRNA from 1 species